AUGUCACCUGUUCAAAAUAUAGCCAUCAUCUCUGUGACCCUUUUGCUACUACUUUUCUGCUUGGCUAUAGCUGUUAUCACAUGUAGACUCAAAUCCAAACAAGUGAAACAGAACCCCAGAAACAGUGGCCAGCCCCCAGAUGAAGAAGCAGAAGUAAAUUAUGUUGAAGUUACAAAAAACGUUAAGAGAAGCAAACCUGAGUCUAAUAGUAUUUAUGCCAACGUGAGCAUCGUUGCAGUGGAGCAACAGCUUCCACACGACUCCAGUGUUGAUUACGCAGCCAUCAAUUGUCAGUGAACGAUGAAGGCAGCACUGCAAGAUGUCACCUUGAAGAAAAACUGAUUUAACAUUAAUUUAGUGUUAAUUUAGGACAUUUGUGUGAUUUUGCUCAGAAAUCACUUUCAUCAUCAUGGAAUGAUCUUUCAUUCAUUCAAAAAAGUCUUAGAUAUUUAAACAGUUUAGGUUUUAACAGGUUAAAAGACUGUUAAAAAAUGUUUAUUAGGCAUUGCACAAGGAAUUGUAUUUAAAG
rnacentral:lncRNA from 1 species